rnacentral:lncRNA from 1 species
UGGAGGCAUACCAAAACUCAAGAUGGAUUUUUGGUUGAACCAUGCGACCGCAUGAAAAUACACCAUGCGGCCGCAUGGUUCAAAAAUUUGGCGAAUUUUCCAAUUUUGGCAAUUUUCCAUAUUUUGUUAGUUUUUGAUUCUUUUCCAUAUUUUGGGAAUUAUGCUCGACUUUUGCACGAUUUUUACCUGGUUUUUAGGUUUAGUAUAAAU